rnacentral:ncRNA from 2 species
GCCCCUCCUGCAGGAGAGUGGAAGUUUUCCGAAAACUUCCCACCGAAGGCGCAACCUCCCAUAAACGCUCAGGUUCAUGUACUGCGGAAGUAUU